CCAGAAAAAAAUGAGUUAAGUUCUUUAUAACUCAAAGAAAUUGGCGGUUAGUAAUAAUUUCAGAGGAACCUGUAUAUUAAUUGAUAAACCACGAUAGUUUGAACCUUAUUGUUAUUUGUAUAUCUCUAUAUGUUAGGAAUGUUUUUUUUGGAUUAAUUUUCUUUUAGAUUUUUCUUAAAUUUUAGGUCAAGGUGCAGUUUUAAUUAGGUUUAUAUGGGUUAUUAUAAUUUUAAGUUUUUGAUUAAUUUUGUUUUUGAUAAUAAUUAUAUUUAGGAUUUGAUAGUAAUUUGAAUUAAUUAAUUUUUUUGAAUUUU
rnacentral:rRNA from 1 species